AGAGUUUGAUCAUGGCUCAGAUUGAACGCUGGCGGCAGGCCUAACACAUGCAAGUCGAGCGGUAGCACAGAGAGCUUGCUCUCGGGUGACGAGCGGCGGACGGGUGAGUAAUGUCUGGGAAACUGCCUGAUGGAGGGGGAUAACUACUGGAAACGGUAGCUAAUACCGCAUAAUGUCGCAAGACCAAAGUGGGGGACCUUCGGGCCUCAUGCCAUCAGAUGUGCCCAGAUGGGAUUAGCUAGUAGGUGGGGUAACGGCUCACCUAGGCGACGAUCCCUAGCUGGUCUGAGAGGAUGACCAGCCACACUGGAACUGAGACACGGUCCAGACUCCUACGGGAGGCAGCAGUGGGGAAUAUUGCACAAUGGGCGCAAGCCUGAUGCAGCCAUGCCGCGUGUGUGAAGAAGGCCUUCGGGUUGUAAAGCACUUUCAGCGGGGAGGAAGGCGGUAAGGUUAAUAACCUUGUCGAUUGACGUUACCCGCAGAAGAAGCACCGGCUAACUCCGUGCCAGCAGCCGCGGUAAUACGGAGGGUGCAAGCGUUAAUCGGAAUUACUGGGCGUAAAGCGCACGCAGGCGGUCUGUCAAGUCGGAUGUGAAAUCCCCGGGCUCAACCUGGGAACUGCAUUCGAAACUGGCAGGCUAGAGUCUUGUAGAGGGGGGUAGAAUUCCAGGUGUAGCGGUGAAAUGCGUAGAGAUCUGGAGGAAUACCGGUGGCGAAGGCGGCCCCCUGGACAAAGACUGACGCUCAGGUGCGAAAGCGUGGGGAGCAAACAGGAUUAGAUACCCUGGUAGUCCACGCCGUAAACGAUGUCGAUUUGGAGGUUGUGCCCUUGAGGCGUGGCUUCCGGAGCUAACGCGUUAAAUCGACCGCCUGGGGAGUACGGCCGCAAGGUUAAAACUCAAAUGAAUUGACGGGGGCCCGCACAAGCGGUGGAGCAUGUGGUUUAAUUCGAUGCAACGCGAAGAACCUUACCUGGUCUUGACAUCCACAGAACUUUCCAGAGAUGGAUUGGUGCCUUCGGGAACUGUGAGACAGGUGCUGCAUGGCUGUCGUCAGCUCGUGUUGUGAAAUGUUGGGUUAAGUCCCGCAACGAGCGCAACCCUUAUCCUUUGUUGCCAGCGGUUAGGCCGGGAACUCAAAGGAGACUGCCAGUGAUAAACUGGAGGAAGGUGGGGAUGACGUCAAGUCAUCAUGGCCCUUACGACCAGGGCUACACACGUGCUACAAUGGCAUAUACAAAGAGAAGCGACCUCGCGAGAGCAAGCGGACCUCAUAAAGUAUGUCGUAGUCCGGAUUGGAGUCUGCAACUCGACUCCAUGAAGUCGGAAUCGCUAGUAAUCGUAGAUCAGAAUGCUACGGUGAAUACGUUCCCGGGCCUUGUACACACCGCCCGUCACACCAUGGGAGUGGGUUGCAAAAGAAGUAGGUAGCUUAACCUUCGGGAGGGCGCUUACCACUUUGUGAUUCAUGACUGGGGUGAAGUCGUAACAAGGUAACCGUAGGGGAACCUGCGGUUGGAUCACCU
rnacentral:rRNA from 2 species